rnacentral:rRNA from 1 species
CCUACGGGGGGCAGCAGUGGGGAAUAUUGGACAAUGGGCGCAAGCCUGAUCCAGCAAUGCCGCGUGGGUGAAGAAGGCCUUCGGGUUGUAAAGCCCUUUUGUACGGGAAGAAAUCAUCCGGGUUAAUACCCUGGGUGGAUGACGGUACCGUAAGAAUAAGCACCGGCUAACUUCGUGCCAGCAGCCGCGGUAAUACGAAGGGUGCAAGCGUUAAUCGGAAUUACUGGGCGUAAAGCGUGCGUAGGUGGUUGUUUAAGUCUGUCGUGAAAGCCCUG